GACGAACGCUGGCGGCGUGCUUAACACAUGCAAGUCGAACGGAAAGGCCCUGCUUUUGUGGGGUGCUCGAGUGGCGAACGGGUGAGUAACACGUGAGUAACCUGCCCUUGACUUUGGGAUAACUUCAGGAAACUGGGGCUAAUACCGGAUAGGAGCUCCUGCUGCAUGGUGGGGGUUGGAAAGUUUCGGCGGUUGGGGAUGGACUCGCGGCUUAUCAGCUUGUUGGUGGGGUAGUGGCUUACCAAGGCUUUGACGGGUAGCCGGCCUGAGAGGGUGACCGGCCACAUUGGGAAUGGGGUACCGCCCAGACUCCUACGGGAGGCAGCAGUGGGGAAUUUUGCACAAUGGGCGGAAGCCUGAUGCAGCAACGCCGGGUGCGGGAUGACGGCCUUCGGGUUUUAAACCGCUUUCGCCUGUGACGAAGCGUGAGUGACGGUAAUGGGUAAAGAAGCACCGGCUAACUACGUG
rnacentral:rRNA from 1 species